rfam:Asian citrus Psyllid, Diaphorina citri - Florida Strain, whole genome shotgun sequence.
GCUUGGAGGGUAGCACGUGCGCCUUGUAAGCGCUAGGUCGCGGGUUCGAUUCCCGCCCAGGGCA